rnacentral:rRNA from 1 species
GAUGAACGCUGGCGGCGUGCCUAAUACAUGCAAGUCGAGCGAUCAGACGAGGAGCUUGCUCCUCUGACGUUAGCGGCGGACGGGUGAGUAACACGUGGAUAACCUACCUAUAAGACUGGGAUAACUUCGGGAAACCGGAGCUAAUACCGGAUAAUAUAUUGAACCGCAUGGUUCAAUAGUGAAAGACGGUUUUGCUGUCACUUAUAGAUGGAUCCGCGCCGCAUUAGCUAGUUGGUAAGGUAACGGCUUACCAAGGCAACGAUGCGUAGCCGACCUGAGAGGGUGAUCGGCCACACUGGAACUGAGACACGGUCCAGACUCCUACGGGAGGCAGCAGUAGGGAAUCUUCCGCAAUGGGCGAAAGCCUGACGGAGCAACGCCGUGUGAGUGAUGAAGGUCUUCGGAUCGUAAAACUCUGUUAUUAGGGAAGAACAAAUGUGUAAGUAUCUAUGCACGUCUUGACGGUACCUAAUCAGAAAGCCACGGCUAACUACGUG